rnacentral:rRNA from 1 species
GACGAACGCUGGCGGCGUGCUUAACACAUGCAAGUCGAACGGUAAGGCCCUUUCGGGGGUCCACGAGUGGCGAACGGGUGAGUAACACGUGGGUGAUCUGCCCUGCACUUUGGGAUAAGCCUGGGAAACUGGGUCUAAUACCGGAUAGGACUACGCGAUGCAUGUCGUGUGGUGGAAAGCUUUUGCGGUGUGGGAUGGGCCCGCGGCCUAUCAGCUUGUUGGUGGGGUGAUGGCCUACCAAGGCGACGACGGGUAGCCGGCCUGAGAGGGUGUCCGGCCACACUGGGACUGAGAUACGGCCCAGACUCCUACGGGAGGCAGCAGUGGGGAAUAUUGCACAGUGGGCGCAAGCCUGAUGCAGCGACGCCGCGUGGGGGAUGACGGCCUUCGGGUUGUAAACCCCUUUCAGCACAGACGAAGCGUAAGUGACGGUAUGUGCAGAAGAAGCACCGGCCAACUACGUG